UGCUCUUUGCUUGCGCAACAACUGUUGACCCYUCAUCCGUUUCAUUUUUGCCCCAAGAUUGCGCUUGCUCUUCUUGGGCACGACCCUUGGUUCCUGUGUUGCCUUCCCAUCGUAUGGAAAAUUUCGUGAGAUAGCCCCACCCCUUUCCUCCUUAUGGCUUUGCGGCUAUAAAGUGAACCUCAAAAGCAGUCCCCGUGUCCUGGACAUAUCCUCUGACUUUUGUUGUGGCUGUCUUGGUCCACAGGAGAACUGCUCGCGCACUCGGAUAUGGAAAAUUAAGCAGACAUGGGGGGGUCUUGGCGUUCAGUYGCUCCAAUYAAGUCCCUCGAUANGAAUGACUUUUGCUACCUCAUUGACAGUAGGCCAUCUAGGCC
rnacentral:misc_RNA from 1 species